rnacentral:rRNA from 1 species
GUAAGGAAUAUUGGACAAUGGACGCAAGUCUGAUCCAGCCAUGCCGCGUGAAGGAUUAAGGUCCUCUGGAUUGUAAACUUCUUUUAUAAGGGACGAAAAAAGGCCUUUCUAAGUCGUCUGACGGUACCUUAUGAAUAAGCACCGGCUAACUCCGUGCCAGCAGCCGCGGUAAUACGGAAGGUGCAAGCGUUAUCCGGAUUCACUGGGUUUAAAGGGUGCGUAGGCGGGCAGGUAAGUCAGUGGUGAAAUCCUAGAGCUUAACUCUAGAACUGCCAUUGAUACUAUCUGUCUUGAAUAUUGUGGAGGUAAGCGGAAUAUGUCAUGUAGCGGUGAAAUGCUUAGAUAUGACAUAGAACACCUAUUGCGAAGGCAGCUUACUACGCAUAUAUUGACGCUGAGGCACGAAAGCGUGGGGAUCAAACAGGAUUAGAAACCCUAGUAGUCC